rnacentral:siRNA from 1 species
UCAGCCCUAUAAUCGUUGC